CACAUACCUACCAUGGAGAACGGCCCAGAGCUCAUCCUGCGCUUCCAGAAGGAACUGAAGGCUAUUCAGUACGGAGCCAGUGCCCACGAUUGGAUGUUUCGGGUGUGACGGUGGGGGCUGUGCCCUCCCUGGUUGGAUCUGCAGACGUGCCGCAUCUAGUCCAGCGUCCUCGCUUCCCAGAGACUCAAGAGAAGUGCAAUAGGGAAAGGUCUGUCCAGAUGCUGGAUCUCUGGCACCCCCUCGUGGACGUUACACUCCAAAGCCUUAAGGGCGGGACCCAUGCAAUUUGGACGCCACCUCAAAUUUUGGGUCUCAGGACUCAGCUGCUCCGCGUCCUGGUGUUCAAGGGAGAACCUUGGCUUCUUCUCUAUCUCCGUUCUCAGGCCGGAUCCCCGGUGCUCUUCGUGUCCUUCCCCCCCCCCCCCUUUUCUCCGUACUUGCUGCAAUUUUGAAAUAAAAUGCCAAAG
rnacentral:lncRNA from 1 species